rnacentral:misc_RNA from 1 species
GGUAACUUGGUGAAUGAGAUAUUGCCUUCUUAUCAAGAAGAAGAAUCAGAUUCCGCGGAAGGGCAUGGAAAUGGUGUUGGGAGUGAUGCUCUACCAAAUGGGAAUUUGCGAGCACCACCAGAUGCGGGAAAGUCAGCACAAGGACUGUCAAGUCCCCUAUUCCCUGAAGUUAAUGCUUUAUUAUCCUUAUUUAAGAAUUCUUGUAAACAAUUGGUCGAUCUCAGAAAACAGGUUGAUGAGAACCUUAGUGAUCUUAAAAAGGAAGUUGUUGUCCAAGAUUCAGAGCACCGGAAGACACUUUCUGAGCUGGAAAAAGGUGUAGACGGAUUGUUUGAUAGCUUUGCACGGUUGGACUUGCGUAUAUCUAGUGUGGGUCAGACGGCUGCCAAAAUAGGAGAUCAUCUACAGAGUGCAGAUGCUCAGAGAGAAGUUGCUAGUCAGACGAUAGAGCUUAUAAAGUACUUGAUGGAGUUCAAUGGCAGUCCAGGAGACCUGAUGGAACUUUCUCCUUUAUUUUCUGAUGAUAGUCGUGUUGCGGAAGCUGCUUCGAUUGCUCAAAAAUUAAGAUCAUUUGCUGAGGAUGAUAUUGGAGGACAAGCCAUGACCAUCUCAGCUGUCGGUAAUGCAACUGCGAGUAGAGGACUGGAAGUUGCUGUUGCCAAUCUCCAAGAAUACUGCAAUGAGCUGGAAAACAGAUUACUAUCUCGAUUUGAUUUGGCUUCACAGAAACGUGAGCUGUCUACAAUGCGGGAAUGCGCUAAAAUUUUGUCACAGUUUAACCGGGGUACCAGUGCUAUGCAACACUAUGUGGGAUUAUGUCCAAUGUUCGAUCUGGAGGUCAUGAAUGCAGAUGCUGAAUUGGUUCUUGGAGAUCAGGGUGCACAACCCAGCCCUAGCAAUGUUGCACGUGGUCUUUCUUCAAUUUUUAAAGAGAUUACAGAGACAGUGCGCAAAGAAGCAGCCACAAUAGCAGCUGUUUUUCCGUCCCCAAAUGAUGUAAUGUCAAUACUAGUUCAGCGUGUCUUGGAGGAUCGUGUUCCAAAGCUACUUGAGAAACUCUUACUGAAACCGUCUCUUGUUAGUCCACCUGCCAUGGAAGAAGGAGGACUUAUAUUAUAUCUCAGAUUGCUAGCCGUGGCAUAUGAGAAGACACAAGAGCUAGCUAGGGACUUGCGUGGUGUAGGGUGUGGCGACCUGGAUGUUGAAGGUUUAACGGAAUCCCUGUUUCUACCCCACAAAGAUAUAUACAUUGAGUACGAGCAGGCCUCUCUUAGACAACUCUACAAAGCUAAGAUGGAGGAGCUACGUGCUGAAGGCCAGCAAUCCUCCGAGUCAUCUGGGACAAUUGGACGCUCAAAAGGUGCUUCAAUGGCAUCCUCUCACCAGCAAAUUUCUGUUACUGUGGUGACAGAGUUCGUUCGUUGGAAUGAAGAAGCAGUAUCCAGAUGCACUUUGUUUUCAUCACAGCCUGCUGCAAUUGCUGCUAAUGUAAGGGCUGUUUUUACAUGCCUUCUGGACCAAGUGAGCAUAUACAUAACUGAAGGUCUUGAAAGAGCCAGAGACAGUCUCACUGAGGCUGCUGCUUUAAGGGAAAGAUUUGUACUUCCUAGUGUAAGUCGAAGGGUUGCUGCUGCAGCUGCUUCCGCGGCAGAAGCAGCAGCUGCUGCUGGUGAAAGCAGUUUCAGAUCUUUCAUGGUUUCUGUACAACGU